UACUAGUGCAUAGCUAAGUCAUGAGGUCAUAGCCAGAAGUUUGUUUCUCAAGGAAAGGCAGGAGUGUAACCAUUUUGAGGUGAUUAUUUCUUCCAGAAGGCAAUAGAUGAUUCAGAAUUUCCCUUGAGACAGGACUUUCUGCAUACAAAAGACCCUCUAUUUGAACAUCCACAGAUGAGAAUCAUUGGCAAUCUCAGGAAUCAGAAACCUCGGAGAAGAACACUGAAGAGAAACUACCCCUGAAGCAAAAAACCAGCACUUUCCUCUGAAAGUCAAGACACAAAGCAAACUUGAAGUACACCCUGUCUCAGAGAAGAUUUGACAAAACAUGACUCCAAACUGCUCAGCAGCUCAAAACAACAGGACCGUUUGGUACUGUGGGUGGGAAGGCUGAAGGAGGUCUCAUUAUCCUUGCACUCUUCUGUCAAGUAGACGCCACCUUGCACCUUCACCCUUGUUGAUAAAAAAUAAGGGAGUGUUAUGCCCCAUUUUUUUUCCCAAACAUACCGCGUCAGCUCCUGGCCCGGAGCAUUUUGCACGUGGUCCUCCCAGCC
rnacentral:lncRNA from 1 species